rnacentral:rRNA from 1 species
UAGGGAAUCUUGCGCAAUGGGCGAAAGCCUGACGCAGCAACGCCGCGUGGGGGAUGAAGGCCUUCGGGUUGUAAACUCCUUUCAGUGGGAACGAAAUUGACGGUACCCACAGAAGAAGCCCCGGCCAACUACGUGCCAGCAGCCGCGGUGAUACGUAGGGGGCGAGCGUUGUCCGGAUUUAUUGGGCGUAAAGAGCUCGUAGGCGGCUUGGCAAGUCGGGUGUGAAACCCCCAGGCUUAACCUGGGGACGCCACUCGAAACUGCCAUGGCUAGAGUCCGGUAGGGGAUCACGGAAUUCCUGGUGUAGCGGUGAAAUGCGCAGAUAUCAGGAGGAACACCAGUGGCGAAGGCGGUGAUCUGGGCCGGUACUGACGCUGAGGAGCGAAAGCGUGGGGAGCGAACAGGAUUAGAUACCCCCGUAGUCC